ACACUUGCCUCGCCGACCGCCAUUUCACAUCCAGCAGAGGAGGCGGGGGCAGCCGCUGAGACGGUUUUUCACAAGUAUUCCCACGAGCAUUCUGCUGAGAUGAACAAUCAGAUGACCUCGUGUGAGAUUUGGAGGAGAGAAGGAAAUGGAGAGCAUGCGUCUGCCGCUUCUGUGGUUUCUGUCGUUAUGAAAUUGGAUGUGCCACACAACAUGCUCUUCAGCCGGUCAGAAAACGAAAAUAUUUUUUCAAGGCCUGGCUGACUGUUGUGUCAUCGUCUACAUGCACUUGUGGGCACACAGCUGAAUGGGAGGCAAAGAGAUGCAAAAAGUGAGCUGAGUGGCAGGAGGACUAAUUCCUGUCCUCUCUUUAUUGCCAUGGGAUUUGCUUUCAAUCCUCA
rnacentral:lncRNA from 1 species